UACGUAGGGGGCAAGCGUUGUCCGGAAUCAUUGGGCGUAAAGAGCGCGUAGGCGGCCCGAUAAGUCCGCUGUGAAAGUCAAGGGCUCAACCCUUGAAUGCCGGUGGAUACUGUCGGGCUAGAGUCCGGAAGAGGCGAGUGGAAUUCCCGGUGUAGCGGUGAAAGUGACGCAGAUAUCGGGAGGAACACCAACGGCGAAGGCAGCACUCUGGGCUGGAACUGACGCUGAGGAGCGAAAGCGUGGGUAGCAAACAGGA
rnacentral:rRNA from 1 species